rnacentral:rRNA from 1 species
GACGAACGCUGGCGGCGUGCUUAACACAUGCAAGUCGAACGGUAAGGCCCUUCGGGGUACACGAGUGGCGAACGGGUGAGUAACACGUGGGUGAUCUGCCCUGCACUUCGGGAUAAGCCUGGGAAACUGGGUCUAAUACCGGAUAGGACCACUGCCUGCAUGGGUGGUGGUGGAAAGCUUUUGCGGUGUGGGAUGGGCCCGCGGCCUAUCAGCUUGUUGGUGGGGGGAUGGCCUACCAAGGCGACGACGGGUAGCCGGCCUGAGAGGGUGACCGGCCACACUGGGACGGAGGUACGGCCCAGACUCCUACGGGAGGCAGCAGUGGGGAAUAUUGCACAAUGGGCGCAAGCCUAAUGCAGCGACGCCGCGUGAGGGAUGACGGCCUUCGGGUUGUAAACCUCUUUCAGCACCGACGAAGCGCAAGUGACGGUAGGUGCAGAAGAAGGACCGGCCAACUACGUGCCAGCCGCCGCAGUAA